UAUAUAUUUCCUCCGUUUCAUAAUUCUUGACGCGAGUUUGUCUAGAUACGGAUGUAUCCAGACACGUUUUAGUGUUUAGGUUCGCUCAUUCUACGAAGAACUUGCAUCAAAAAUUAUGAAACGGAGGAAGUAUUUA
rnacentral:pre_miRNA from 1 species